rnacentral:rRNA from 1 species
AACGUAGGAGACAAACGUUAUCCGGAGUUACUGGGCGUAAAGGGCGUGUAGGUGGUUUCGUAAGUCUGGCGUGAAAUUUCUCGGCUUAACCGAGGCAGGUCGUCGGAUACUGCGGAGCUAGAGGACGGUAGAGGCGUGUGGAAUUCCGGGUGUAGUGGUGAAAUGCGUAGAGAUCCGGAGGAACACCAGUGGCGAAGGCGACACGCUGGGCCGUACCUGACACUGAUGCGCGACAGCAUGGGGAGCAAAC